ensembl:lncRNA
UCCCAUAGAGGCAUCACACCCGGCUUUCACACAGCCCCAUUUGGGAGCACCUUGUUCAAGAGAGUUUCUUUUUUUCCUCCUUGAUGAAUUUGUUCUCUUUCCUCCUUUUCCUUUGCUUUCAAGAGAAGGAAUCUGUACAGUGCAGGGGAAAUGUUGUAUGAGAAGAGAUUCAUCAGCUGUCGGCAGUGAUCAGGAUUCCAGGAAAACACAUAUAUGAAUCCAGGCGUAAAUCUGACUCAGAAGUUAUUAAUCUUUGCUGGAUGAAAAGGAGGAAUGCACCGUCCUGUGGAUACAGUGUCUGCUUAGACUGAAGAUCUGAGUAACUGGGUUUCUUCUGCCUUCAUUCUUCCCUCUACCACAAAGGAAGACCUCUUUGUUGAGGCCACGCUAGUUGUUGCAGAAAGAGAACUUGAAGUACAAGAACUUUACCAAAAGCUCAUCCCACUCAAGCUGAAGGCAAUGCCCUCAAUGGUUUGGUGUCAUGUGCGUUCAACCAGAAGUGUGCUCUGGACCUCUUGGCUGUAAAUGGUACAGGAUCACACCACGUUAUAAUCUCAAGCUCUAAUCAGCAGAAACCUUAGAAGCAAAGAAUGUCCGUGUUGUAUGUGCCUCCAAACACACAGAAAAGGAACCACAGGCAUCUCUAUAGCUUGUGAUUUGAAAGGUUAAAGGAGGUCACUUGAAAACCCAACUUACAAGCCAAAUGGUUCCAAUUAAGUGAGGCAGUUCCAGGACAUAAUCAAUAGCAAUGCCACAUUGACUUGACUACUCCUUACCUUGACCUUUAAAGUCCUUUAAAGUAAUUAGCAGUCAGUGUUUGGACUUUUAAAGACAUCAGUAGGACUACAAAAAGGACUGUGUGACCUAAACACGCUUGUUUUGGCUUUAAUGAAAGUAGGGGUAUAAAAAACAACAAAAAGAAUACUCAAUAUAAAGGCUUCUUGGUGGAAUUGUAGCAUCGGGAGGGUUGUGUCUGGUUUUCUCAGCCGGGAUCUGUAAAUGAAGAAAGAAGUGUGCUUUAGAACACCUUCAUCGACAAGAAAAACACCAACUGAACAAGAUGAGAUGUCAUGGCUUUCUCUGGAGCUUGGAAGUAGAGAACAAUCACUGAGUAAUUAUUUUGAUUGCCAGUUAUCUGCAUUAUUAUCCUGCUGUUCUGUUCUCAAUCCCUUCUGAACUCAGUUUUGCUGCCCAUCGGAGGAUACAACAGCUUCCCCAGCAUCCAAAAGAGAGUUAUUUAUUGACAUAGCCUUCAGAUUUAUAUGGUUUAAAUUACAGUAUGUUAAGGUGGAAAGUAUGGUCACCUCAUUGUACAUAAACAUCUUCUAAACAGUGUGGAAAUCACUGAAGUGCCCAGUGCCUCAGCAUCUUUGUUCUUAAAAUGGGAAUUUUGUAAUUGUUACUGUAAUGUUGUUAAGAUUUAACAUGUGCAAAACCUUUGCAAGUCACUGAUUGUGAAUCAUGCAAAACUGCCACGUCCUGCUUUCUUAGAUUACCAAGGUAAUUUAUUAUGAUAUUUAUUUGAUGGGCUUGUCAGAUCUCUAACAUUUGAAUUGUUAUUUAACCCUUAAAUAUUACCUGAGGAGUAAAUUUAGUCUGUUCAAAAA